rnacentral:rRNA from 1 species
CGAACGGGUGAGUAAUACAUCGGAACGUGUCCGCUCGUGGGGGACAACCAGCCGAAAGGUUGGCUAAUACCGCAUGAGUUCUACGGAAGAAANAGGGGACCCGCAAGGGCCUCUCGCGAGCGGAGCGGCCGAUGACUGAUUAGCCGGUUGGUGAGGUAACGGCUCACCAAAGCAACGAUCAGUAGCUGGUCUGAGAGGACGACCAGCCACACUGGGACUGAGACACGGCCCAGACUCCUACGGGAGGCAGCAG